CCGCGUGUUUCCGGCGCAUGAGUACGAACGCCUUCUCACGAUAUCCAUGCGCUGCAAAAAUAUUUCGUGUGAUUCCGAAUACCAGUCUAUAAAUUCCCUUAUGCAGCAGUGCCGUAAUGAAUGAGCACUAUCAUUCUGUCAAAGAAGUGCAAUAACUAGAACCCAUGACCGUGAGGGAUCGCAUGUUUGGGAAGAAUUCGUUUCUUGCAACCGCUGCAAAUCAGUUUGUUUUGAAACGUCAGGGAGCGAGGACGAGUCUGCUCGGUCUUCGAAGAAAUUCGUUCGACGCGUUCAAGAUUGAAGUCAUUUAAGUGGUCCUGAUCACCGGCAGGCUGGACACAACGACUGAGGGACGGAGACAACGAACUUUGUGCUUCAUGCACGAACGUUGAUGCGUGAAUUAGAGGAGCCGAGAGUGCAUUUUACACCUGGAUUACACAAGCAAGUUACGUCAAGCGAUGUCGUAAAUGGGUGAGUCAAUCGUCUACUGUGGUUGGUGUUACGUUCUGCGGAAGAAACGGAAGUUGGGGAAGAACAGCUAUCCAAAGGUGUGGAAGAGAUAAAGAAGCGUGACCACAGAGCAGCUACAGUGGUGAAGGAGAGACGCAGUGGUCAUCGUUCAUCCAUAUACGUUGUGCCCCGUGUGUUCGGCGUUUGUGCAUCAUGACAAUGCACGCUCGCGAUGGACAAGCAUCAAUCCUGAAAUGGAUAUAAUUUUCGAAUAAAGGUAUUUGUUUGUUAUAUUUAUCGUGCAGCGUAGCUUCCUGGGGCUGUUAAUAUAUCGUGGAGGAGGGGAACCACCCCGACGGGUAGGCCUAAAUCGCUGCGCGCUAUCCGUUACAUGUACCGCAUGUGAGGGCGCAUGUACCUCUUAAUUUUAAGAGGUACAUUUUUUAAAAAAUGUACCUCUU